GCUAAACGCGAAGAACCUUACCAGGUCUUGACAUCCCUCUGACCGGUCUGGAGACAGGCCUUCCCGUUCGGGGCAGAGGAGACAGGUGGUGCAUGGUUGUCGUCAGCUCGUGUCGUGAGAUGUUGGGUUAAGUCCCGACAACGAGCGCAACCCUUGAUCUUAGUUGCCAGCACUUCGGGUGGGCACUCUAAGAUGACUGCCGGUGACAAACCAGAGGAAGGUGGGAUGACGUCAAAUCAUCAUGCCCCUUAUGACCUGGGCUACACACGUACUACAAUGGUCGGUACAACGGGAAGCGAAGCCGCGAGGCGGAGCCAAUCCUAUAAAGCCGAUCUCAGUUCGGAUUGCAGGCUGCAACUCGCCUGCAUGAAGUCGGAAUUGCUAGUAAUCGCGGAUCAGCAUGCCCGCGGU
rnacentral:rRNA from 1 species